UACGAAGGGGGCUAGCGUUGCUCGGAAUCACUGGGCGUAAAGGGUGCGUAGGCGGCGCGGUAAGUCGGGUGUGAAAUCUUGGAGCUUAACUCCGAAACUGCAUUCGAUACUGCCGUGCUUGAGGACUGGAGAGGAGACUGGAAUUUACGGUGUAGCGGUGAAAUGCGUAGAUAUCGUAAGGAAGACCAGUGGCGGAAGGCGGGUCUCUGGACAGUUCCUGACGCUGAGGCACGAAGGCCAGGGGAGCAAACGGG
rnacentral:rRNA from 1 species